AGGCAGCAGUAGGGAAUCUUCCGCAAUGGACGAAAGUCUGACGGAGCAACGCCGCGUGAGUGAUGAAGGUUUUCGGAUCGUAAAACUCUGUUGUUAGGGAAGAACAAGUACUAGAGUAACUGCUAGUACCUUGACGUACCUAACCCAGGAGGGCCCCGG
rnacentral:rRNA from 1 species